CUAUGGGUACACUACCCUGAAUGCACCUGAUCUCUUCUGAUCUCAGAAGCUAAGCAGGGUCAGGCCUGGUUAGUAGUUGGAUGGGAGAAGGUGGCCAGCACAAUGC
rnacentral:rRNA from 1 species